rnacentral:tRNA from 5 species
UCGGGUGUCGUCCAAUGGUAGGACAGCAGACUCUGGAUCUGCCUAUCGAGGUUCGAAUCCUUGCACCCGAGCCA